rnacentral:tRNA from 1 species
CCAUAUCUAUUGGCUCCAGCGUGUCCGCCCCUGCUUUGCAAGCAGGAGGUCACCGGUUCGAUCCCGGUUGGCUCCA